CUACAGGCUUAACACAUGCAAGUCGAGGGGCAGCAUGGUCUUAGCUUGCUAAGGCCGAUGGCGACCGGCGCACGGGUGAGUAACACGUAUCCAACCUGCCGUCUACUCUUGGACAGCCUUCUGAAAGGAAGAUUAAUACAAGAUGGCAUCAUGAGUCCGCAUGUUCACAUGAUUAAAGGUAUUCCGGUAGACGAUGGGGAUGCGUUCCAUUAGAUAGUAGGCGGGGUAACGGCCCACCUAGUCUUCGAUGGAUAGGGGUUCUGAGAGGAAGGUCCCCCACAUUGGAACUGAGACACGGUCCAAACUCCUACGGGAGGCAGCAGUGAGGAAUAUUGGUCAAUGGGCGAGAGCCUGAACCAGCCAAGUAGCGUGAAGGAUGACUGCCCUAUGGGUUGUAAACUUCUUUUAUAAAGGAAUAAAGUCGGGUAUGGAUACCCGUUUGCAUGUACUUUAUGAAUAAGGAUCGGCUAACUCCGUGCCAGCAGCCGCGGUAAUACGGAGGAUCCGAGCGUUAUCCGGAUUUAUUGGGUUUAAAGGGAGCGUAGAUGGAUGUUUAAGUCAGUUGUGAAAGUUUGCGGCUCAACCGUAAAAUUGCAGUUGAUACUGGAUAUCUUGAGUGCAGUUGAGGCAGGCGGAAUUCGUGGUGUAGCGGUGAAAUGCUUAGAUAUCACGAAGAACUCCGAUUGCGAAGGCAGCCUGCUAAGCUGCAACUGACAUUGAGGCUCGAAAGUGUGGGUAUCAAACAGGAUUAGAUACCCUGGUAGUCCACACGGUAAACGAUGAAUACUCGCUGUUUGCGAUAUACAGCAAGCGGCCAAGCGAAAGCGUUAAGUAUUCCACCUGGGGAGUACGCCGGCAACGGUGAAACUCAAAGGAAUUGACGGGGGCCCGCACAAGCGGAGGAACAUGUGGUUUAAUUCGAUGAUACGCGAGGAACCUUACCCGGGCUUAAAUUGCAGAUGAAUUACGGUGAAAGCCGUAAGCCGCAAGGCAUCUGUGAAGGUGCUGCAUGGUUGUCGUCAGCUCGUGCCGUGAGGUGUCGGCUUAAGUGCCAUAACGAGCGCAACCCUUGUUGUCAGUUACUAACAGGUUCCGCUGAGGACUCUGACAAGACUGCCAUCGUAAGAUGUGAGGAAGGUGGGGAUGACGUCAAAUCAGCACGGCCCUUACGUCCGGGGCUACACACGUGUUACAAUGGGGGGUACAGAGGGCCGCUACCACGCGAGUGGAUGCCAAUCCCCAAAACCUCUCUCAGUUCGGACUGGAGUCUGCAACCCGACUCCACGAAGCUGGAUUCGCUAGUAAUCGCGCAUCAGCCACGGCGCGGUGAAUACGUUCCCGGGCCUUGUACACACCGCCCGUCAAGCCAUGGGAGCCGGGGGUACCUGAAGUGCGUAACCGCGAGGAGCGCCCUAGGGUAAAACUGGUGACUGGGGCU
rnacentral:rRNA from 1 species